GGAAUGCUUGGGCGUGCCUCCACCCACGCCGGCGUCGGCGGGCGUAUUUCGCCUCACAGUAGGUCGCCGCGACCCGUUGCUUUUGGGGACGUCGAAGGCCCGGACGGAUUGGUACCCUACCGGCUGGGGAUGCGGCUUCGGCUUCUCCUCUUGUCCGGUGGGCGAAACCGCCGGUGUCCUGGCUGCCCUGCGACGGUCGUANAGACNAGCCCUCCCCUUCGGGGGGGCGGCUCUCGCGGCGUGCAAAAGGUCGGUGAUCCACCCGACCCGUCUUGAAACACGGACCAAGGAGUCUAACAUGUGUGCGAGUCAGUGGGCGCACUAAACCCAGAGGCGUAAUGAAAGUGACACGGGUUCGGCUGUCGCCUCGUGUGGCAGCCGGACUCAGGGCCGAUCCCUCACCGGUUGCCCUCGCCUUCUCUCCCGCGUCUCGGUAAGCCGGGUGAGCUAUUUUCCCCGGCCGCUGCUGCGGGGCGCGGGGGGAGGCGGGGUGCGAUGGUGUCCGUAAAAAAGAGCCUGCUGUUGCAGGGGGGCGCAGGCCCGGGACUUGCCAGGACGCCGCGAGACUGUCACUUUGCUGUGAGGCUCUCGGGCCGAUCAGCGGGUCAUGCGUGCAGUCGGCAAGUACCAUGAGCAGACAUGUUGGGACCCGAAAGAUGGUGAACUAUGCCUGGCCAGGAUGAAGCCAGAGGAAACUCUGGUGGAGGUCCGUAGCGAUUCUGACGUGCAAAUCGAUCGUCGGAGCUGGGUAU
rnacentral:rRNA from 1 species